rnacentral:rRNA from 1 species
AUUGAACGCUGGCGGCAUGCUUUACACAUGCAAGUCGAACGGCAGCACGGGUGCUUGCACCUGGUGGCGAGUGGCGGACGGGUGAGUAAUGCAUCGGAACGUGUCCUGAAGUGGGGGAUAACGCAUCGAAAGAUGUGCUAAUACCGCAUAUUCUCUGAGGAGGAAAGUAGGGGAUCGAAAGACCUUAUGCUUUUGGAGCGGCCGAUGUCUGAUUAGCUAGUUGGUAGGGUAAUGGCUUACCAAGGCGACGAUCAGUAGUUGGUCUGAGAGGACGACCAGCCACACUGGGACUGAGACACGGCCCAGACUCCUACGGGAGGCAGCAGUGGGGAAUUUUGGACAAUGGGCGCAAGCCUGAUCCAGCAAUGCCGCGUGAGUGAAGAAGGCCUUCGGGUUGUAAGACUCUUUCAGUUGAGAAGAAAAAGUACGUGACUAAUAAUCAUGAUUCAUGACGGUAUCAACAGAAGAAGAC